rnacentral:piRNA from 1 species
AGACGGUGAGCAAGGGUGGGUUUGAG